AUGCACGCUGGCGGCGUGCCUAAUCCCUGCCAGUCGAGCGAACAGACGAGGAGCUUGCUCCUCUGACGUUAGCGGCGGACGGGUGAGUAACACGUGGAUAACCUACCUAUAAGACUGGGAUAACUUCGGGAAACCGGAGCUAAUACCGGAUAAUAUAUUGAACCGCAUGGUUCAAUAGUGAAAGACGGUUUUGCUGUCACUUAUAGAUGGAUCCGCGCCGCAUUAGCUAGUUGGUAAGGUAACGGCUUACCAAGGCAACGAUGCGUAGCCGACCUGAGAGGGUGAUCGGCCACACUGGAACUGAGACACGGUCCAGACUCCUACGGGAGGCAGCAGUAGGGAAUCUUCCGCAAUGGGCGAAAGCUUGACGGAGCAACGCCGCGUGAGUGAUGAAGGUCUUCGGAUCGUAAAACUCUGUUAUUAGGGAAGAACAAAUGUGUAAGUAACUAUGCACGUCUUGACUGUACCUAAUCAGAAAGCCACGGCUAACUACGUG
rnacentral:rRNA from 1 species